AAGCCAGACUCCUACGGGAGGCAGCAGUGGGGGAUAUUGCACAAUGGGGGGAACCCUGAUGCAGCGACGCCGCGUGGGUGAAGAAGCGCCUCGGCGCGUAAAGCCCUGUCAGCAGGGAAGAAAAUGACGGUACCUGAAGAAGAAGCCCCGGCUAACUACGUGCCAGCAGCCGCGGUAAUACGUAGGGGGCAAGCGUUAUCCGGAUUUACUGGGUGUAAAGGGGGCGCAGACGGCGAUGCAAGCCAGGAGUGAAAGCCCGGGGCCCAACCCCGGGACUGCUCUUGGAACUGCGUGGCUGGAGUGCAGGAGGGGCAGGCGGAAUUCCUGGUGUAGCGGUGAAAUGCGUAGAUAUCAGGAGGAACACCGGUGGCGAAGGCGGCCUGCUGGACUGCAACUGACGUUGAGGCCCGAAAGCGUGGGGAGCAAACAGGAUUAGAUACCCCUGUA
rnacentral:rRNA from 1 species